GUAGUAGUAGUAAUAGUAGUGUAGUAAUAGUAGUGUAGUGGAAGAAAAAGAAAGAGUAGUAGGAGAAGGGUGAACGGUCGACGUUGCCGCAGGUCAGGGAAGAAAAUUUCGUCGAACGAUAAAAGAUCCUACGAAGAAACGAAGAAGGAAAGUGGAAAAGGAGGAAAUAGUUUAAGAGCUAGAAGGAAGAAGUGAAGGUGCUGGGAAAAGGGGUAAAAGGUGGUCAAAAAAAGGACGUGGAGAGGAAGGAGUAAAAGAAGGAGAAAGAAGAAGAAGCAGAGGAGGAGGACGAGGAGGAGGAAAAAGAGAAACGGAGAAGGGGAAUGCUUGGCAAGAAAAAUAGUCUAGCCGAUGGACGAGUUCCGCAGUAGUCGUCGUCGUCGUCGUGGCUGCACGCUACCGUCUCGUUACGGAGGGACGCUGAGAAAAUAGAGAGAGAGGG